GAUGAACGCUGGCGGCGUGCCUAAUACAUGCAAGUCGAGCGAACGGACGAGAAGCUUGCUUCUCUGAUGUUAGCGGCGGACGGGUGAGUAACACGUGGAUAACCUACCUAUAAGACUGGGAUAACUUCGGGAAACCGGAGCUAAUACCGGAUAAUAUUUUGAACCGCAUGGUUCAAAAGUGAAAGACGGUCUUGCUGUCACUUAUAGAUGGAUCCGCGCUGCAUUAGCUAGUUGGUAAGGUAACGGCUUACCAAGGCAACGAUGCAUAGCCGACCUGAGAGGGUGAUCGGCCACACUGGAACUGGGACACGGUCCAGACUCCUACGGGAGGCAGCAGUAGGGAAUCUUCCGCAAUGGGCGAAAGCCUGACGGAGCAACGCCGCGUGAGUGAUGAAGGUCUUCGGAUCGUAAAACUCUAUUAUUAGGGAAGAACAUAUGUGUAAGUAACUGUGCACAUCUUGACGGUACCUAAUCAGAAAGCCACGGCUAACUACGUG
rnacentral:rRNA from 1 species